CACAGCUCUGAGCACACCUGAAGAAGUCUCUUGAGACUACAUUGAAGAAAAGCUGUUCUCUAUUUGACUCAUCCACAGGACUGCAAAGUAUCUAUGACGUCAAGUGGAAAGAAAAAUCUCCCUUCUCCGCUACAAAACUUUGUGGAAUCGAAUUUUCUCCAAGGAUAAAGAAAAUGUACUCAAAAGAAUUGUGUGGAUAUCCUGUGAAAAGUUCCCUCUCACGCUUAAGGAGAUGCGAAGUAAUGUAAUAUCAGUUGAAACAACACCAGUAUUAUUAUUAGGACAACAGAAUAUCACCAAGUAACAAGGUCCAUGUAUGUACGAUAAAAAAUCAGUACGUGUAAGUUUUGUUGAUUUAAGUAAUGCCACAAAUAUUAAAAACUCGAAAGUUCUAUUAAUAUUUUUAUUGCGAUUGUUUAAGCUAAAGGACAUUAAAACGUACUUCCUACAAAAUAAAUAUAAUAUUAAUGUUCCCCACCUUUGAUUAUAUUUAAUGUGAGCAGUAGCAAAAUGUAAUUGAUGAACCGUUCUUAAAUAUGAAAACAUAACCUAACAAUGAAAGAUUGCCCAAGCAUUAACCUUAAGGGGCUUUAUUCUUCGUGUUUACAGGCUUGAAGCAUGCAGCCUCAUAUCAGAUUACAGGAAAGAUUUAUUAAAUAAAACAAGUGUGUUACCUUAAGUGGAUCUCUUGGUGUGAUGCUUUUAACACAACGAAGUCAUACAUUAAAUGUAGCAUUCCCUUACUGUAGAUCAUUUUUAUGUCUCUUGCAACGAUUACAAACGUAACUAUGAUUUGGCAAUAUUGUGUUCUUCUCAAAUAAACUAUGCUUUCUACAUACA